CUACAUGUGGUGUAGUGGUUUGAGUGUUGGACUACAAAUCUGGAGAUCAGGGUUCAAUUCCCCACUCAAGCAUA